ACGCUCGACACCUACGGGGGGCAGCAGUGGGGAAUAUUGCACAAUGGGGGAAACCCUGAUGCAGCGACGCCGCGUGAGCGAAGAAGUAUCUCGGUAUGUAAAGCUCUAUCAGCAGGGAAGAAGAUGACGGUACCUGACUAAGAAGCACCGGCUAAAUACGUGGCAGCAGCCGCGGUAAUCUGAGCGGGCUGGCAAGGC
rnacentral:rRNA from 1 species